AAAUGUGAGCACAGUCUGGCUGUGAUGUCUGUCACCUCAUUGAUCAGCAGGGUUGAUCUGGCUGAUCUGGCUGACUAGACAGGUGUCCCCUUCUUCCCUCACCACUCCAUGUACGUCCCUCCCAAAGCUGCACACUUGGUUGAAGAGGAUGACCCUCCCCAAUAGAGGAAGACAGUUCUUUUGUCGAGGGUAUAUGAGUAGCUAUACUCCUCUGCUAGAACCUCCAAACAAGCUCUCAGGGUCCAUUUGUAGGAGAGCGCAGGGUAGUUAGGCUUGCAAGACUCCAGACACAUUCAAAUGCAGCCCUGCAUGUCAUAGACCCUCCAACAUUU
ensembl:misc_RNA 7SK 7SK RNA